rnacentral:rRNA from 1 species
AGAACGAACGCUGGCGGCAUGCCUAAUACAUGCAAGUCGAACGAACACUUCGGUGUUAGUGGCGCACGGGUGCGUAACGCGUGGGAAUCUGCCCUUGGGUUCGGAAUAACAGUUGGAAACGACUGCUAAUACCGGAUGAUAUCGAAAGAUCAAAGAUUUAUCGCCCAGGGAUGAGCCCGCGUAGGAUUAGCUAGUUGGUGAGGUAAAGGCUCACCAAGGCGACGAUCCUUAGCUGGUCUGAGAGGAUGAUCAGCCACACCGGAACUGAGACACGGUCCGGACUCCUACGGGAGGCAGCAGUGGGGAAUAUUGGACAAUGGGCGCGAAGCCUGAUCCAGCAAUGCCGCGUGUGUGAAGAAGG